UACGUAGGGUGCGAGCGUUAAUCGGAAUUACUGGGCGUAAAGCGUGCGCAGGCGGUUUUGUAAGUCAGAUGUGAAAUCCCCGGGCUUAACCUGGGAACUGCGUUUGAAACUACAAGGCUAGAGUGUGGCAGAGGGGAGUGGAAUUCCACGUGUAGCAGUGAAAUGCGUAGAGAUGUGGAGGAACACCGAUGGCGAAGGCAGCCCCCUGGGUUAACACUGACGCUCAGGCACGAAAGCGUGGGGAGCAAACAGG
rnacentral:rRNA from 1 species